CAAAUUUCAUGUUACUGGUUUGUUUCCUCAAGGACAAAUAACAUUAGAAACUCAGUUUGGGGUUCUGUUGUUAGCAGGUGAUCAGCCUUAGAAACCAACAAACAAAUGUCUUGCUUGAAGUUCUGCCCAUGGUGGGAUUUGGAGCUGCCGCUGUCUUUCUGGCCCAAGUCAAACUGUAAUGUCGCUUGAGCAUGGAAGAAAAUGGAGAAGGAAAAUUAUGUCAAUCAGAAGCUCAGAUCCACAUGCAGAAAGGAAAAGCAUUCAGGAAAGAAUAGACACGCUAUUGAAUAGUGCCUUUAAUUAUAGAAGCAAAUGUGAACCAUCAUUUUGAAACUUUUUCUGACUGGCAACAU